AAAUAAAUCUGUACAGCAACACAGUGUUGAGAUUAUUUAGUAUUCUUCAUUGUAGCUGAUAAUUGCUGGAGGAGAAGUGUGUGCAAAAUAAGGGCCGAGAAUGGUGUCUGCAGUGGGGUGCACACCAAGUUAGAGUCACAUGAAACAGAACAAGAGAUCACUGGCUUCUGUCUUUUUGAUCUUUCGUGAAGCCGAAGUCUUGAGUAAGUAAGUCAGGUGGAUGGAAUUGUUGUAACGAGUCCUAAAA
rnacentral:lncRNA from 1 species